UGACAAUGGUUUGGUCCUGCCUACCGGU
rnacentral:piRNA from 2 species